GCUCCAUCUUCAUUGGCUAGAGCGGCCUGGAAGUCAUCCACUUGUUGAAAAGCACCUGCAGGGUCGCAGGUUCUGUUCAGUUCUCUGGAGGAACCAACAUUUAUGAAACUGAAGCAUGAGAGGAGAGGCGGCAUGCACCCAGAAGCUGAUUACAACCACAUGGACAGUAAUAUCUUUGCCAAACUCCCCCAAGGACCCAGAACUACGCAACAUGGGACCCGUUGGUCAACACUGAGCUCCUGGAAUCCCAGUUCCCUUUAAAAUCAAUGAGCUGAGCCAGGAUUGCGAAAGGGUCCCAUCAGGGGAACAGGAUGGUUACUGAACUAUAUGGGGCAAGAUGUCUUUGAUCCAAAAUGGUAGACACCACGGAAGAUGAGAAAGAGCAAGGCUUCCUGGACACACUGUCAUAGGAGCCCGAUAGCGUCUCAGUAGGCCCGGCAAGAUUGAAGGCUCAGCACUGUUCACAGAGAUCCCACGAUUAUUCCAUGAGGACCUGAGCUCCUGGUUCCUGCAGACAAAGAGAUCACAGCCUCACAGCCCCACAGCCACUGGCAGGGGCUAUAAACCAAAGAACAGUCCUUCUGUAGCAGUUGUGUGAAAACGUGACACUGGUCUCAUCUUUAGUCACCAAGGGCAACAGGGACUGUCAUUCCUGGCCCACAGAAAGGUUUGACUGUGGCCCUUUGCAGCCACCAUGGGCCUUAAAGCUGAGGCUGCCGAGCACCCUGGGGAAGGCAGUAGCAACGGCACGUUCACUGGGUGUCCACAACCACUGCAGGCCCUGUCCCCACCUUCCACACACACACACACACACACACGCACACGCACACGCACACACACACACACACACGCUGGCCAUGUACAUUCAUACACAUGCGCCAAAGAAGAACUGAGUGCCAGAAAACAAAAACAAACAAACUCAGAACACUUCUGGUUCUAUGUUAAAGGGUUUCUUUCUAUUCCAGAGCUGCCGUAAGAUGGCAUCGGCUCGGGGGGCCCUCUGGUUCAAUUCCCCCUUCUGCUUUUCCACUUUCUGGUGGGGGUCGACGUAAGGAGGGGCUGAGCAGAGGGGGGUGGGUUAGUGGGGAGAAAGAUGCAGAGAGGACAGACCCCUGGCUCUUCCUCUUUCCCUGUAUGCCCUUCUCCGCUUUGGCGCCACACCUCCUGGAACAUCUUGCCCCUGGUCCGUGCUCAGUGACUGCAUCUCGAGGCUGCAUCCCUUUGCUGGGGCUGCCAUAACAAAGCACCAGCCCUGCAGCUUAAACAACAGGCAUUUAUUUCCUCAAUUUGGAGGCUGGGACAGGGAUCAAGGCAGGGGCAGGGCUGGUUCCUUCAGAGGGCCGUGAGGGAAGAAGCAGUUGCAGGCCUCUCUCCUUGGCUUACAGACAGCCAUCUUCUCCCUGUGUCUUCACAUGGUCUUCCCAUUGUGUGCGUCUGGCUCUUAAUACCCACCCCCUUUCUUUCUUUCUUUUUUUUUCUGUCUUUUUAGGGCUGCACCUUCGGCAUAUGAGAGUUCCUGGGCUAGGAGUCCAUUCGGCGCUGCAGCUGCAGGCCUACACCACAGUCACAGCAACUCAAGAUCUGAGCCGAAUCUGUGACCUACAUUGCAGCUCACAGCAAUGCCAGAUCCUUAACCCACUGAGCAAGGCCAGGGAUUGAACCCUCAUAUUCAAGGAUACUAGUUGGGUUCUUAAACCCCACUGAGCCACAAGGGGAGCUCUUUAUCUCCUCUUCUGAUAUGGACACCCAUCAGACUGGAUUAGAGCCUCAUUUUAACUGAAAAUGACCUCGUUUUAACUUCAUUCCCUCUUGAGGGCCCCUGCAUCCAAAUGCAGUCACAGUCUGAGGCCCCCAGGGGUUAGGAUUUCCACCAGUUUGAGGCAGGAGAGGAAGUCAGCCAACGUGUGCAGCCCUACCGUGGGCUUGCCACCGAGCCAGAUGGCAGGGACAAAAGAAGAGUCGCUCUCAUUGUGGAUGAGGGACUAAAUGACAGCCCCAGUAGUGAGCAAGUUGAUGGAUCAAUGCCGAGUGAAUGGAAUGCACAAACAUCAAAACUGAUCGCAGAGCCCAGAGGGCCGAUCAGACAUAACCAUACUGAGUCCAGAGCCCGCAGCCCACUCCCACCUCCAUCUACAAAGGGGUCUCAGGGAUAAUUAGGGAUGUCAGGCAACAAAGGGGCCACCCUUCCCUGCCCAGGGGAGCCUGGCCAGCUCUGAAAACUGAACAGAACCAGCGUGCACAGAGAUGGUCCUGGAUGAAAACCCAGACUUUUCUUCAUGCUCAGCCUGUGCCUGGGAGACCUAGGGAGACACCCACGCUGUGGGUCCCAGGGGCCCCACAAGUCAGACGGAAAGCCCCCACGCCACCGCCCCCCUGCCCCUGCCCCACCCUGAGCGGCAUCUCAGAUUAGCCGGGCCGGGAGGGAGGGCCACCUGCAAGGGGCCGCACCAGCUGUUGUGGGAUGACGGGUGGUGCACCAUCCCUGAGAUGUUGUCACACCCGUGAAAUGAGAGUGAAAGUCGCCACAUCCUCAAUGCCAUCCCCUGAAAACGCGCUCUGUGCCCCAAACGGCGCACAUCAGUGAGGAAGCCAAGUUAGAGGAACAGAAAAGGCACCAUUCCUGUCCCCGUCCUGCCCAGCUCCCUGCUCUCCCCACUGCAAGCAUGCCAGCAUCGUCACUCGGUUAUUAUUAUCCGUGCUGCAGCUGUUUACUUCAUCGGACUUCAAAGAGAUUUCCAAAUGGGAAUGUUUGUGACCCCGUGAGGUCAGAGUUCCCUGGACCAUCAAUCAGAGCCAGCAGGGGGCAGGCCAGCUGCCCGUCAUCCGAUGGCGGCCGCUGUGCACAGACUUUGAACCAGUUCCUGUGGCCUGUCUCUGCCCGGCUCCCUGUGAACCAUGGUUGCCGGUCAGUUUCUGAAUUGCAGCAACGCACCACGCGAACACACACCCCAACCGCCCUCCUCUCCCUGCUCAGAUGACCCCCUUAUGUUGUUUUCCAGCAGGUUCUCCCUCCAGCCCAGAUGGGAUCACGUCAGAAGGGCUGGUCCACACAUCUCUCCUUUAUUACUGAAUCUGCAGCUCAGAAGCCUCAAGCUGGUAUUUCCUCUGCCCUACUAGGGAUUUUUAUGGGGUUUUUAUUUGGUUUCAUUUUUGCCAUGCUUCUGAGAAUGGUUCCUUUGUUCUGCCUCACUCGCUGCUUUGAGCCUCCAAGGCCCCAGAAGAUCACACAGCCGUACCCUCAGACAUGAC